AUCCUGUAAUGAGGACACUUUCUGAUCAUGUCUUUGAAUCUUUCUCAGGCUUCAUAAAGAGACUCAUUAUCUUGUUGGAUAAAGUUAUUGAUCUCAGAUCUCAAUUU